rnacentral:rRNA from 1 species
AGCGCAGGCGGGAAGACAAGUUGGAAGUGAAAUCCAUGGGCUCAACCCAUAAACUGCUUUCAAAACUGUUUUUCUUUGAGUAGUGCAGAGGUAGGCGGAAUUCCCGGUGUAGCGGUGGAAUGCGUAGAUAUCGGGAGGAACACCAGUGGCGAAGGCGGUCUACUGGGCACCAACUGACGCUGAGGCUCGAAAGCAUGGGUAGCAAACA